rnacentral:tRNA from 1 species
AGCGGUCUGGUCUAGCGGUCAGAACGCUGGCCUUGUAAGCCUGGGGUCCCGGGUUCAAUUCCCGGUGGUGCUC